rnacentral:rRNA from 1 species
AUUGAACGCUGGCGGCGUGCCUAACACAUGCAAGUCGAGCGGUAACAGGUGUAGCAAUACAUGCUGACGAGCGGCGAACGGGUGAGUAAUGCUUUGGAAUCUUCCCAGUAGUGGGGAAUAACCAGUCGAAAGAUUGGCUAAUACCGCAUACGUCUGUAAAGGGAAAGCGGGGGACUCGCCUCUUCUUCGGAAGAGAGGCCUCGCGCUAUUGGAUGAGCCAAAGCGGAUUAGCUAGUUGGUGGGGUAAUGGCCUACCAAGGCACAAUCCGUAGCUGGUCUGAGAGGACACCAGCCACACCGGAACUGAGACACGGUCCGACUCC